UACGUAGGGCGCAAGCGUUGUCCGGAAUUAUUGGGCGUAAAGAGCUCGUAGGCGGUUUGUCGCGUCUGCUGUGAAAACUCGAGGCUCAACCUCGGGCUUGCAGUGGGUACGGGCAGACUAGAGUGCGGUAGGGGAGACUGGAAUUCCUGGUGUAGCGGUGGAAUGCGCAGAUAUCAGGAGGAACACCGAUGGCGAAGGCAGGUCUCUGGGCCGCAACUGACGCUGAGGAGCGAAAGCAUGGGGAGCGAACA
rnacentral:rRNA from 1 species